UACAGAGGUCUCAAGCGUUGUUCGGAUUCAUUGGGCGUAAAGGGUGCGUAGGUGGCGCUGUAAGUCGGGUGUGAAAUUCGGAGCUUAACUCCGAAACUGCAUUCGAUACUGCGGUGCUUGAGGACUGGGAGAGGAGACUGGAAUUCAUGGUGUAGCAGUGAAAUGCGUAGAGAUCAUGAGGAAGACCGUGGCGAAGGCGGGUCUCUGGACAGUUCCUGACACUGAGGCACGAAGGCUAGGGGAGCAAACGGG
rnacentral:rRNA from 1 species